CCUGAGCUAGCAUAAAUCACCAUAGCUUCAUAGAAGUCAGCAGUGGCUUGCUGAUUCAUAGCAGCCCAGCAUCUGACACACAUACUCCACUUAUUAACUAACGAAUGCUAACUGUUGGGAGGAACUGGUGAAAGGAACCAAAGAGACUUCAGCAUCCACAGAGCCAUUCCUGCUGCUGCAGUUGCCACUCCAAAGAUUCAGAGGUGUGAAUAUCUGAAUAUUUUCCAAACCAGAAGUCCUGACAACUAGAGGGUUAAAGACUGUAUCUUUCAGAUGUGAAGAUGACAGUAAGAGUCUUGGCUAUCAGAGGCAUAUAAUGAUUGGGACUUCGGAACAUGGAGACUUUGGAACUAGUCAGAG